rnacentral:lncRNA from 1 species
AUAUAUAUAUAGUCCGACUAUGCUGCUUGUAAAAGCACCAAACACUUAGUGCUUGUACAUUUUUACCGUUAGAUCUAUAUUUUUUUAUCAUUUUCAACCGUUAGAUCAUAGUAUUCAACCAACCAACCACUCAACUCUAGGGUGGCCACAUCAUCCUAACCACACAUUUCUUAAUUCAAUGGCAAAAAAUCUACAAGUACCAAAAACUUGAUACUUUUAAAAAUAUAGGAGCCCAUAUAUAUAUAUAUAGAGUCCGGCUACUAUACUAUCGAUAGUACCAAGCCCUUGGUACUAUUGAGUUUUCUACCGCUAGAUCUACCCUUUGAUUAUUUUCACCCGUUAGAUUAUACUAUUAAACAAACCACCCACUUAACCCUAGGGAAACCACUAUCAAUUUAAUCGGGGACUAUUAUUGUCCUAACUGCACAUCCUUUCAUUCAACGGCCGAAAACUCAAUAGUACCAAAGGCUUGGUACUAUUGAUAGUAUAGUAGCAUAAUUCUAUAUAUAUAUAUAUGACUACUAUAUUAUAAAUAGUACUAAAUACUUGGCGCUAUUGGAUUUUUAGCUCUUGAAUAAAAGGAUGUGCUUUGUUUAUUUCAUUUAGAAAUAAACUUAGCUGGAAUUGUAAAUCAAUUAGGAUUCGAACUUGGGACCUCGGGUACCAACUAUCAAGCCCUUUGCCACUUGCUCCAGGGACGGUCGGUUAAUGUAUAUAUAUAUAUAAGGUCCGGCUACUAUAUUAUUAUGAGUACGAUCGCUCUCGUACUCAUAAAUUAUUUUCGAUGAUAGAGCUUCCAAAUUAAUGAUCCAUACCGUUAAACGUUAUUUGCAGGAUUUAAAACUUCUAGAAAUUAAAUUUUAUAAUUUUUCGCCAUCAUUUACCUUACGAUCAAGAGGUCACAAAUUUGACAAUUUGUAAUGGCCGGUAUGGGAUACUUGCUAGUUUAACGGUGUAAAAGAAUCGAAAUUUGUUGAAUUUUUUAUAGAAAAUUUCAUUCACUACCUAGAAAAAGAUCAAUAAUUCCGAUUUUGAAUUGAAGGAUCCGAUCAUCCUUUUUUAGGUCGUCGUUCAAUUUUGACCGUUCAUUUUAUGCCCGUUUGAUGGACUUUAUUAUGAUUUCGAAAAUUUACGAAAUUUAUUUUCUAGAAGUUUCAAAUACUCUAGAUUAUAUUUAACGGGGUGGAUCGUCGAUUCGGAAGCUCCAACAUCGAAAACAACUUAUGAGUAGUAGGGCUCCAAUACUCAUAAUAGUAUAGUAGCCAUGGCCUAUAUAUAUAUAUAUAUAUAUAAAAUUGAGCUCCUAUGUUUUUAAAAGAACUUAGUCAUUAGUGCUCGUAAGUUUUCGACCCUUUAAUUAAGGGAUGUGCUGUUAGGAUGAUGUGGGCCCCUUAGGGCUGAGUCGGUGGUUCGUUGAAUAGUAUAAUCAAACGGAUANCAAACCCCACACACACACACACACACACACACACACACACAUAUAUAUAUAUAUAUAUAUAUAUAUAUAUAUAUAUAUAGUAGGGCUAGAAUACUUUUACAAGUAUCACCCAAGUGAUACUUGUGUGUUUUUAGUCAUUGGAUCUACUUUUUGAUUACUAAUAGUCAUUGGAUCAAAUACUAUUCCACCUACCACCACCUACCACUACCUACCAUCAUCAUCUCAACCUCACAUCUCUCCAUCCAAGGAUUAAAAACACACAAGUAUCACUUGGGUGAUACUUUUACAAGUAUUCUAGCUCAACUCUAUAUAUAUAUAUAUAUAUAUAGUAGGAUUACUGUGCUAUUAAGAGAACAUCAGCCAUUGUAUUCUAACUUCCUAACAAUUCAUCAAUUUUGAUGGAUGGUGAGGAAGAGAGAAAAAAAAAAAUUGGAGAGAAAUUUGAGAGAAAAUAGAUA